AGCCCUGGGGUGUUACACGUAAGAUUGCAAAUCUUAAGAAGCAGGCUAACCGCCCGCCGGGGCUU
rnacentral:tRNA from 1 species